AUGGAGGACCGAACCGACUUACGUUGAAAAGUGAGCGGAUGAACUGUGGGUAGCGGAGAAAUUCCAAUCGAACUUGGAGAUAGCUGGUUCUCUCCGAAAUAGCUUUAGGGCUAGCCUCAAGUGAUGAUUAUUGGAGGUAGAGCACUGUUUGGACGAGGGGCCCCUCUCGGGUUACCGAAUUCAGACAAACUCCGAAUGCCAAUUAAUUUAACUUGGGAGUCAGAACAUGGGUGAUAAGGUCCGUGUUCGAAAGGGAAACAGCCCAGACCACCAGCUAAGGUCCCAAAAUAUAUGUUAAGUGGAAAAGGAUGUGGCGUUGCCCAGA
rnacentral:rRNA from 1 species